rnacentral:lncRNA from 1 species
GACAAAUCAGGGCUUAGUAUGAUAUUAAUAGUAGCUGGUUACAAGAAAAACUAGCAUUGCUAGUUUUUGUUGAUUUACUUUUUUUGUACUGUUAUGCUUAAUAUUAUGUCUUGCUCAUUUUUGAAAGGUAUAAAUUAUUUUGUCUUUUGUUUUUUAACAUAUAUCCAUUACUAUUUUUACAAUAUAGUCAAAUACCUUUUACCUAAAAAAUAAAAAUUAAAGCAAAAUGACUCUUCUUGCACAUUCAAGGUACUUCUCAAUUAUGCAAAGAUGACAAGGGAAACUUUAUUCUGAGAUUUGCCCAAAAGCAAGUUAAUUUGUCAAUGUAAAUUAAAAUGUUAGGCUUCCCAACCUUCCCCCAUUACUUUAAAAAAGUUACUGUAGAAUAAUAUAUUUUGCAUGCACAUGUUACAAAAAUUAUUUUUUAAAACAUGAAGUUUACAUUACAUAGAAGCACUUAGUUUGUGAUUUAAAGACCACAGAAAUGGAAUUGUGGACUUAGAGAUCCAUGCAGAGCCAUCCUUUGUGUCAAAUUGUGGGAUUUUUAAAGUACCACAGGAUGGCCCAGCACUUUUCUCAGUUUCCCAGAUUUCAUUAAUGUGAAAUUUGUAACUUACAGAUCAUGAC